GCAGUUACUGAUAUAGCCAAGGUGGGACACUACUGGAGGGAGCUAGAAGGGAUCAGCCAGCCAUGCCUCCAGUUCAGGUACUUGGCAUUGCUAAGCUCAGAACAGGACUUGCCAGUGUCUAAAUGAAAAAGAGGAGAGAUCUCAAGAGGGAUAACCAAUUGGCUGGCAAAGUAACAAAUGAAAAGUAACCUGACUCUAUUGACCUGCUUAACCCUGCAUGGGGGGGAAGGAUGGAAAGGAGCAGCUGUUUGCUUUGAAACAGUGGAACAGAAAAUUGGCCCUGAAACACCAUCCAGACAAGAAUCCAGAUGAUCCAGCUGCUACUGAGAAGUUUAAAGAAAUCAACAACGCCCACGCAAUACUUACCGACAUUUCAAAGAGAAGCAUAUACGACAAGUACGGAUCGCUGGGACUCUACGUGGCCGAGCAGUUUGGAGACGAAAACGUUAACACCUACUUCGUGCUGUCGAGCUGGUGGGCAAAGGCCCUGUUUGUCAUCGUUGGCCUCUUGACGGGCUGCUAUUUUUGCUGCUGCCUGUGCUGCUGCUGCAACUGCUGCUGUGGACAUUGCCG
rnacentral:sRNA from 1 species